rnacentral:rRNA from 1 species
GAUGAACGCUGGCGGCGUGCCUAAUACAUGCAAGUCGAGCGAAUGGAUUGAGAGCUUGCUCUCAAGAAGUUAGCGGCGGACGGGUGAGUAACACGUGGGUGAUCUGCCUCGUACUUCGGGAUAAGCCUGGGAAACUGGGUCUAAUACCGGAUAGGACCUUCCUUUAGUGUAGAAGGUGGAAAGUUUUUCGGUACGAGAUGAGCCCGCGGCCUAUCAGCUUGUUGGUGGGUAAUGGCCUACCAAGGCGACGACGGGUAGCCGGCCUGAGAGGGUGUACGGCCACAUUGGGACUGAGACACGGCCCAG